UAGGGAAUAUUGGUAAUGGGCGAAAGCCCGAACCAGCAACGCCGCGUGCGCGAUGAAGGCCUUCGGGUUGUAAAGCGCUUUUUAAGGGGAUGAGGAAGGACAGUACUCUUAGAAUAAGCCUCGGCUAACUACGUGCCAGCAGCCGCGGUAAAACGUAGGAGGCGAGCGUUAUCCGGAUUUACUGGGCGUAAAGCGUGUGUAGGCGGUUUGAUAAGUUGGAUGUGAAAGCUCCCGGCUCAACUGGGAGAGGUCGUUCAGAACUAUCAGACUUGAGAGUGGUAGAGGGAGGUGGAAUUCCGCAUGUAGUGGUGAAAUGCGUAGAUAUGCGGAGGAACACCAGUGGCGAAAGCGGCCUCCUAGACCACUUCUGACGCUAAGACGCGAAAGCUAGGGUAGCAAACG
rnacentral:rRNA from 1 species